GCUCAGAACGAACGCUGGCGGCGUGGCUAAAACAUGCAAGUCGCACGCGAAACGUCAUGGUAGCUUGCUACCAGAGACAAGUAGAGUGGCGAAAGGGCGAGGAAUACUUGGGUAACGUACCCUUAGCACAGGGAUAGCUGUGGGAAACCGCAGGUAAUACCUGAUGAUAUCACAGAAUCCACGGGUUUUGUGAUCAAAGGGUGGCCUCUUCUUGAAAGCUACCGGCUUUGGAGCGGCCCAAGUCCUAUCAGCUAGUUGGUGAGGUAACGGCUCACCAAGGCUUCGACGGGUAUCGGGACUGAGAGGUUGGCCCGACGCAUCGGAACUGAGACACUGUCCGGACUCCUACGGGAGGCUGCAGUAACGAAUAUUGGACAAUGGGCGAAAGCCUGAUCCAGCGACGCCGCGUGCAGGAAGAAGUCCUUCGGGAUGUAAACUGCUGUCAGGGACUACCAAGCAAUCAGGGUUAAUAAUCCUGUGCGUUGAGGCGUCCCAGAGGAAGCCACUGCUAACUUCGUGCCAGCAGCAGCGGUAAUACGAAGGUGGCGAGCGUUGUUCGGAAUCACUGGGCUUAAAGAGCAUGUAGGCGGAUUGUCAAGCGUCUUGUGAAAGCCCUCGGCUUAACCGGGGAAUUGCUGGGCGAACUGACAGUCUUGAGGCAGGUAGGGGCAGAUGGAACUCUUGGUGGAGCGGUGGAAUGCGUAGAUAUCAAGAGGAACGCCAGAGGCGAAAGCGAUCUGCUGGGCCUGACCUGACGCUGAGAUGCGAAAGCCAGGGGAGCGAACGGGAUUAGAUACCCCGGUAGUCCUGGCCAUAAACGAUGUCAACUAGGUCGGAGGUUCUCUGACGGAUUUCCGGCCGAAAUGAAAACGUUUAGUUGACCGCCUGGGGAGUACGGUCGCAAGGCUAAAACUCAAGGGAAUUGACGGGUGCUCACACAAGCGGUGGAGCAUGUUGCUUAAUUCGAUGCAACGCGAAGAACCUUAUCCUGGGCUUGACAUGCGUGGAUGCCUACCUGGAACCAGGAUCGGCUGCCAUUCGGGGUGAAACUUGCACAGGUGCUGCAUGGCUGUCGUCAGCUCGUGUCGUGAGAUGUCGGGU
rnacentral:rRNA from 1 species